GGAGGCAGGACCAGCCCGCAGACCGAUGAGCAGAUAGACUGGUGGGCAGAGCAGCUGCAGCCUUGGCUCCCCCCAGUCCGUGUGGUCCGUGAUGGGUCAGGGAGCUGUGCCCCUCUCCCUGGGGGAUGCUGUGGGCUCCUGGGCGCCGGGCACCCGGGCCGCCAGCUGAGCCCCGGGCCGCCCCAGCGCUCCCGGGGACCUAGAUCCCCGCGGCCGGGGAGAGGGGGAAGCAGCCCACACGCAGCCAGGGGCCGGGGCUACCCGAGGGCAUGGAGCGCCUGGGAGAGAAAGCCAGCCGCCUGCUGGAAAAGCUGAAGCUCUCCGACUCCGGCAGCGCCAAGUUUGGCCGCAGAAAAGGGGAGGCAAGCCGGCCAGGGUCCGACGGAAGCCCUUCUCCCGGAAAGGGGCGGCCGAGCGGGCCCGGGGGCCCCAGGAAGCCAGGGAGCCGGGGAGCUCUUGGAGAGUCUGGGGAUGAGCCGCUGGAAGCAGCCCGCGAGCAAGGCCCCCUGGAGGCUGAGCGGGUCCGACGCUACUCCUUUGAGGCGCCGCGCUACGAAGUGCCUUUCCCCGGCGGGGCUCCCCAGCCCCGGGCCUUGCCUCUGCCCCAGUCGCUGCUCCCCGACUUGCGUCUGGAGACCCUGGCCCCCGCCUUGAGCCCGCGCUCUAGCUUCGCCAGCAGCUCCGCCAGCGACGCCAGCAAGCCGUCCAGCCCCCGGGGCAGCCUUCUCCUGGACGGGGCGGGGAGUUGCGGAGCCGGCGGCAGCCGGCCCUGCAGCAACCGCACCAGCGGCAUCAGCAUGGGCUACGACCAGCGCCACGGAAGCCCCCUGCCCAGCGGGCCGUGCUCCUUCGGCCCCCCCUUCGCCGGAGCUCCCACGGGCUUCCCCUCGGGGGGUGUUCCCUCCGCCUACCCCGACCUCCAUGCUGCUUUAGACCGGCUCUGCGCUCACCGACCCACGGGGUUUGGCUUUCAGGAGAGCCGUCACUCGUACCCGCCGGCCCUCGGCAGCCCCGGGGCCCUGGCCGGGGCCGGGAUGGGAGCGACUGGGCCCUUGGAGAGGCGCGGGGCGCAGCCUGGACGGCACUCGGUGACCGGCUAUGGGGACUGCGCGGCGGGCGUCCGCUACCCGGAGGAGCUGGCGGCGCUGCUGCGGCUCGCUGUGGGAACCGCAGGGCGGGAGCCCGGCGCCCACGGGGAGCCCCCCGGCAUCGAGUCCCCGGGGCCCGAGGACACGCCCGCCCCCUUCCCCCUGGAAGCGGGCCGCGGUCGGGCUCGGGAGCUGGAGUCUAAGGAGGAUUACUUCGGCACAUGUAUAAAGUGUAACAAGGGCAUCUAUGGGCAAAGCAACGCCUGCCAGGCCCUGGACAGUCUGUACCAUACCCAGUGCUUUGUUUGCUGUUCUUGUGGGAGGACACUUCGAUGCAAAGCCUUCUACAGUGUCAAUGGCUCUGUCUACUGUGAGGAGGAUUACUUGUUUUCAGGGUUCCAGGAAGCGGCAGAAAAAUGUUGUGUCUGUGGUCACUUGAUCUUGGAGAAGAUCCUGCAGGCAAUGGGAAAGUCUUAUCACCCAGGCUGCUUCCGCUGUAUUGUCUGCAACAAGUGUUUGGAUGGCGUACCUUUCACUGUGGACUUCUCCAACCAAGUGUACUGUGUCACCGACUACCACAAAAAUUAUGCCCCCAAAUGUGCUGCUUGUGGCCAACCCAUCCUCCCGUCCGAGGGCUGUGAGGAGAUUGUGAGGGUGAUAUCCAUGGACCGGGAUUACCAUUUUGAGUGCUAUCACUGCGAGGACUGUCGGAUGCAGCUGAGUGAUGAGGAGGGCUGCUGCUGCUUCCCCCUGGACGGACACCUGCUCUGCCAUUCCUGCCACAUGCAGAGGAUCAAUGCUCACCAGGGCACUGCCAACUACGUCUGAGCUGCCGCUUCCAUCCGUUGCUUCUGGCUCCCAAGCUCCAGCAGUCCCACCCCUCCCGGGCAGCGGGCAGUGGAGAGCCCAUUGGGGUGGAAGUGAGGGAUACAGGAAAGAAGGCAGGGCAGGUGGAAGUCCCAGGAAAAAGAUGGCAUCAGGAGAUUAUUGCUUACCUGGAGAGGGCAUGGAAUUACUCCAGCAAG